rnacentral:tRNA from 1 species
GCCCAGCUGGUUCAGUGGGUGGAGCACGCGACUCUUAAUCUUGGGGUCGUGAGUUCAAGCCCCACGAUGGGUG